rnacentral:rRNA from 1 species
GAGAUACAGUUUUCCUUUCGGGGACACCGGUGACAGGUGGUGCAUGGUUGUCGUCAGCUCGUGUCGUGAGAUGUUGGGUUAAGUCCCGCAACGAGCGCAACCCUUAUUGUUAGUUGCUACGCAGGAGCACUCUAGCGAGACUGCCGUUGACAAAACGGAGGAAGGUGGGGACGACGUCAAAUCAUCAUGCCCCUUAUGUCCUGGGCCACACACGUACUACAAUGGUGGUCAACAGAGGGAAGCAAUACCGCGAGGUGGAGCAAAUCCCUAAAAGCCAUCCCAGUUCGGAUCGCAGGCUGCAACCCGCCUGCGUGAAGUUGGAAUCGCUAGUAAUCGCGGAUCAGCAUGCCGCGGUGAAUACGUUCCCGGGCCUUGUACACACCGCCCGUCACACCAUGAGAGUCGGGAACACCCGAAGUCCGUAGCCUAACCGCAAGGGGGGCGCGGCCGAAGGUGGGUUCGAUAAUUGGGGUGAAGUCGUAACAAGGUAGCCGUAUCGGAAGGUGCGGCUGGAUCACCUC